GGUUGUGGCACGGAAAUGUACCCCUUCACCACCUCCCUCAUUAUGUCAUGUUGGAUCUUUUGAGACAACAUGGUACUGAUUCAUUACCGUAUUUAGUCUCAUUUUUACUCUUAGUUUAUGAUCUUAGUUUUUGACUGCAUGCACAGGACCUACUUAUUCUUUUGCGGCAACCAAAAAUUUGACUGAACAUCAAACUAUAUUCUAUGUUUUUCAAGUAGAAAGUCUAGCAUUUGGGGAAAACCUAUUGAAUGAUGAUAUUGUUGUACCAUUUUAACUUAUGGGUGUUUAUUUAUCUGUUUGUUUUCGACUCAGCAUUUUGCUGUUAUUUGGUGAAGAAAAUGAUACCUAUGAGGAUAAUAAGGCAUCGCGCACCACCCAUUUGCCCCUCAAUGUUGUUUCCCUUACUCAGUGCUCGAGUCUCCAGGUGGCAAAUUCAGGAUCUUGGAAAUAA
rnacentral:lncRNA from 1 species